rnacentral:rRNA from 1 species
AUUGAACGCUGGCGGCAGGCUUAACACAUGCAAGUCGAGCGGGGGAGGUUGCUUCGGUAACUGACCUAGCGGCGGACGGGUGAGUAAUGCUUAGGAAUCUGCCUAUUAGUGGGGGACAACAUUCCGAAAGGAAUGCUAAUACCGCAUACGCCCUACGGGGGACAGCAGGGGAUCUUCGGACCUUGCGCUAAUAGAUGAGCCUAAGUCGGAUUAGCUAGUUGGUGGGGUAAAGGCCUACCAAGGCGACGAUCUGUAGCGGGUCUGAGAGGAUGAUCCGCCACACUGGGACUGAGACACGGCCCAGACCCCUACGGGAGGCAGUAGUGGGGAAUAUUGGACAAUGGGCGGAAGCCUGAUCCAGCCAUGCCGCGUGUGUGAAGAAGGCCUUUUGGUUGUAAAGCACUUUAAGCGAGGAGGAGGCUCUUAAGGUUAAUACCCUUGAUGAGUGGACGUUACUCGCAGAAUAAGCACCGGCUAACUCUGUGCCAGCCGCCGCGGUAAGAC